ACGCCAGGUUCGGAAGCGACAACGAGCACCGUGACUCCACGUAGGGAGUGAGCUCGUGUUGGUACCUUUUUGGCUGGACCUCGAGUGAUUUCUUUUCAGGUGUGUGACGGCACGCGGGUCCAUUGCAGAGUCUAGACAGGAGUUGUGUAUAUAGAAGUCUAGCUUUUUGACUCUUUUGAUUAUGUGCCUAUUUUUGGAGCUUGUAUAUGUUGUAAAUACCUGUGGGCACGUCUUGUAUGACGGUUAUUUUUGUAUAUAUGCAAGUUAAGUUUUUUUU